rnacentral:tRNA from 1 species
GAGGCUUUAUCUUAAUUAAAGUGUCUGGGUUGCAUCCAGAUGAUGACAUUAGAGUUGUUCAAGCCUU